GUGCUUGCUUCAGCGGCACACAUACUACAAUUGGAACAAUACAGAGAUUGGCAUGGCCCCUGCGCAAGGAUAACACGCAAAUUCGUGAAGCAUUUCAUAUAUAU
rnacentral:snRNA from 10 species